UGGGGAAUAUUGCACAAUGGGCGAAAGCCUGAUGCAGCAACGCCGCGUGAGUGAUGACGGUCUUCGGAUUGUAAAGCUCUGUCUUUGGGGACGAUAAUGACGGUACCCAAGGAGGAAGCCACGGCUAACUACGUGCCAGCAGCCGCGGUAAUACGUAGGUGGCAAGCGUUGUCCGGAUUUACUGGGCGUAAAGGGUGCGUAGGCGGACCUUUAAGUGAGAUGUGAAAUCCCCGAGCUUAACUUGGGGGCUGCAUUUCAAACUGGAGGUCUAGAGGGGAGGAGAGGAGAGUGGAAUUUCUAGUGUAGCGGUGAAAUGCGUAGAGAUUAGGAAG
rnacentral:rRNA from 1 species